GGACCCUGUCUCAUGAAAAAAAAAUAAAAAUGGGCUGGGGAUGGAGCUCAGUGGGAAGGUCUUGGGUUCAAUCCUUGAUAUAAGGGUGUGUCGGGGGUGAGAUCUGACCAGGUUGAUUGCCCUGCCAGACAGGCCCUUUCCAUGGCCUCACGGCUCUCAGGCCUCCCCUGAAAAGCAGCCAGGAGACUCCCCAGUAAGCUCUCUAAGGGCAGCAUGCUUCAGGCUCAUGUGGGAGGUACCGCGGUGUACACUGUCAGGCCCCCUGGGUCCCUCACCUCUCUCCAGGGCGUGAGAAGCUGCUGCUCUCUGGCUGGUCCAGGGGUGUAGUGAUGAGUGAUUUCUGCAGCAACGACUUCUGGAGAAGAGCCAGUCCUGCUCAGGGGAGAGGUAAACAGAGGCAGGGUGUGAGCACGUGUAGCAGGGGUGUGCAUAACAGGAAGCACGAGGCACGGCCGAGGAGUACAGCUCUGGACGCGCUCGCUCCUUCUCCUGCCCCGGGGGGCUUUCUGCAUCAUCACCAACCUUCUUCAGGUCAGUUCCCCUUUUGGUUUUUGUUUUCGUUUUCUUUUGGUUGUUGAAUGAUCCUUGAAAUAUUUCCCUUUGUAGUUCGUGAGUAGCUGGACAUUCCCCCACGCCAAGGUCAGUCACUGCCAUCUAUGAAGUCGUGAGGGUGGCACCACCAGUGUGACCAGUGUUGAAACCCACAGGAGGGACAGGAGCUGGGACCCUUAAGGGUUCCGGAGAGCUCCCUGGCUAAAGAUACCUGCUGGGCACUGUUGACAAUCUCAUCAGAAGUGGUGCUGAGCAAGGGUGAAGGUCCCACCCAGAGAUCCUAUUUUAUACCUUUUCCUCUGUGUUUUGAUUCUGCUUAAUGUCUUUCUGCUUGUCUCAGUUCUGGAGCAGCUUCUGGAGGGCUUUGGGGAUCACUGCACUGGACGGAAUGGCCUCCCCGAAGCUGUCUGUUCUGAAUGGCCAGUUCCACUGUGAUCCUCAUGCCAUUUGAUCACUGCUUGGCUUGGUAAUGUCAUCAUCACCAACCUCUUUUGGAGACAGACCCAGGCCCGUCUUAGGGCCUAGGGCAGGCGUGACACCAGCUUCCUCACUGACGCGUCUCAAAAUACAGCUUUAAUCUUGUUGGGGUCAAGCUCGGGUGGCAUGGCAGGGGCGAUGGAUUCCUUGCCCUGACAUUCACCAUUUUGCUCCUCUACCCUUUCAGGGUCUUCUCUCAACACCCAAGUCCACAGUCCUGGCUACUGGACACACCAAUCUGUCCAACAGGACCGCCUCUGAGCUUCCGCACCGGCUGUGCCCUCUGUCUCUCUGCUGAGCUCGUGUGUCUUCAAGCGGAGACUCCCCGUUUGGAGCCCAGCCUCUGUGCGGGGGGAAGGGGCACUGCAAUGGAUUGCAGGGCCUGUGACACAUCCCCUAACACAUGGUCAGCAUUCAGUCAAAGGUCCUGAGUGCCUGAAGUUCCUUCCUCACACUGGCCCACCAAGUGUAAAUUGCGUAGCAAAUUGGCCACUCCAUCAAGGGGGAUUUGUCAAGUUAUGGUAAGUACCCCAGGCUGGCUCUCCUUGGGUGGGGAAUUUUACCAACAGAUCUGGGAAGCGGAUGGAUCAAGCGUUUGGGCUGUGUCUCCACAGACUGUCAUCUUGGGAGGGCCAGCGGCAGACGCUUGGAGCUGGCUGGCAUCAGGGUGCAAUCUGGUAGCCGCGGAAGAAACUCUUGUCCUUGGAGGGUCUGAAAGCCCACAGACACCUGCUUGGCUUGGCUCGCCUUGGCUAGUAGCGUUUCCAGCAGAGACGAGCGGGAAAUGGAAGGGUGAUUGAGAGCUGGCGGUGAUGGGGAAGAAAGGAUCUACAGUGCAGAAAUGAGAUAUUUAUGAUCCCCUAUCUGUAAAUGCAUAAGUUCCGGCCUUCGAUCAUGUUGUUGGUGAACAUAAUCAAACUUUGGCAGUGCUGCCUGAAGCCCUUCAGUGGAGAAGAUAAGGGUAGAAUAAACGUGACAGAAGGGAUGAUUCAAAGGGGCCAAUGGCCGGGGAGCAAAGAUGGACCCUACAAUGCGACAAAGGAUGUGAGGGGUCAGGAUGUGAGAAGAAAAGCCAUUGCUGGGGAUGGCAAGGCACGGGGGGCUUCCAGGCUUAGGAACUACGGUAGCAGUUCUCUGGCCCUUUCCAUGACAGUGCUCCUGGCCUGCUGCCCUGACUGCGGAUUCAGGAGACCAAGAAUCAAGCACAAGGGCAAAAGGACUUUGCAGCAGAAACGCCCCAUGGAGACUUACUUCCACCAACAGAGCUGCAGCGGGCAGCCCUGCCACUCCUCUCAGCCUCAUAACCAUGACGUUCUCACUCAAAGGCUGUCCAUCUGUCCUGCCAUCCCGCCAAGCCCUGGAGCCCCACGCUGACUUCCCUUGGAAGAGCCCCAGUUCCCAGGGUGACCUCAGCAACAGCAGGGCCCACGGACAGCUCCUGUCCUGAACUUCCUGUCACUAGGAAGGGUCUGCCUGGCCUAUGGAAGUUAUAAUAACACAGUCUCUGUUUCUGA